GGGAUUAGAUACCCCACUAUGCUUAGCCUUAAACCCAGAUGUUAAAUUUACAAGCAACAUCCGCCAGGGUACUACAAGCGCUAGCUUAAAACCCAAAGGACUUGACGGUGUCUCAGACCCACCUAGAGGAGCCUGUUCUAGAACCGAUAACCCCCGUUAAACCUCACCACCCCUUGUUUAACCCGCCUAUAUACCGCCGUCGCAAGCUUACCCUGUGAAGGUCUCAUAGUAAGCAAAAUGGGGAAACCCCAAAACGUCAGGUCGAGGUGUAGCUUAUGAGGUGGGAAGAAAUGGGCUACAUUUUCUAUAUCAGAAUAUACGAACACCACUAUGAAAUUUAGUGCUCGAAGGUGGAUUUAGUAGUAAAAAACAAAUAGAGAGUCUUUUUGAACCAGGCUCUGAGGCGCGCACACACCGCCC
rnacentral:rRNA from 1 species